GUGCCAGCCGCCGCGGUAAUACGUAGGGGGCAAGCGUUGUCCGGAAUUAUUGGGCGUAAAGCGCGCGCAGGCGGCUUCUUAAGUCAGGUGUGAAAGCCCACGGCUCAACCGUGGAGGGCCAUCUGAAACUGGGAAGCUUGAGUGCAGGAGAGGAGAGCGGAAUUCCACGUGUAGCGGUGAAAUGCGUAGAGAUGUGGAGGAACACCCGUGGCGAAGGCGGCUCUCUGGCCUGUAACUGACGCUGAGGCGCGAAAGCGUGGGGAGCAAACAGGAUUAGAUACCCUGGUAGUCCACGCCGUAAACGAUGAGUGCUAGGUGUUGGGGACGUAGGUCCUCAGUGCCGCAGCUAACGUAAUAAGCACUCCGCCUGGGGAGUACGGCCGCAAGGCUGAA
rnacentral:rRNA from 1 species